CUGCGAUAAGCGCCGGUAAGGUGAUAUGAACCGUUAUAACCGGCGAUACCCGAAUGGGGAAACCCAGUGUGACUCGUCACACUAUCAUUAACUGAAUCCAUAGGUUAAUGAGGCGAACCGGGGGAACUGAAACAUCUAAGUACCCCGAGGAAAAGAAAUCAACCGAGAUUCCCCCAGUAGCGGCGAGCGAACGGGGAGGAGCCCAGAGCCUGAAUCAGCAUGUGUGUUAGUGGAAGCGUCUGGAAAGGCGCGCGAUACAGGGUGACAGCCCCGUACACAAAAGCGCAUGUGCUGUGAGCUCGAUGAGUAGGGCGGGACACGUGGUAUCCUGUCUGAAUAUGGGGGGACCAUCCUCCAAGGCUAAAUACUCCUGACUGACCGAUAGUGAACCAGUACCGUGAGGGAAAGGCGAAAAGAACCCCGGCGAGGGGAGUGAAAAAGAACCUGAAACCGUGUACGUACAAGCAGUGGGAGCCCCACCACCAAAGCAUUUGCUGUACCGCGUUGACGGAGCGAAGCGACGUCAAACCGAUAAAACAGCAGUGUAAAGUGAGCCGCAGGGCGCUUUGCGCGACAGCGCAAAGGCAGGCGGUUUCGCGUAGCGAAAGCGAAUGCUUUGGGGUGGGGUGACUGCGUACCUUUUGUAUAAUGGGUCAGCGACUUAUAUUCUGUAGCAAGGUUAACCGAAUAGGGGAGCCGGAGGGAAACCGAGUCUUAAUUGGGCGUUAAGUUGCAGGGUAUAGACCCGAAACCCGGUGAUCUAGCCAUGGGCAGGUUGAAGGUUGGGUAACACUAACUGGAGGACCGAACCGACUAAUGUUGAAAAAUUAGCGGAUGACCUGUGGCUGGGGGUGAAAGGCCAAUCAAACCGGGAGAUAGCUGGUUCUCCCCGAAAGCUAUUUAGGUAGCGCCUCGUGAAUUCAUCUCCGGGGGUAGAGCACUGUUUCGGCUAGGGGGCCAUCCCGGCUUACCAACCCGAUGCAAACUGCGAAUACCGGAGAAUGUUAUCACGGGAGACACACGGCGGGUGCUAACGUCCGUCGUGAAGAGGGAAACAACCCAGACCGCCAGCUAAGGUCCCAAAGUCAUGGUUAAGUGGGAAACGAUGUGGGAAGGCCCAGACAGCCAGGAUGUUGGCUUAGAAGCAGCCAUCAUUUAAAGAAAGCGUAAUAGCUCACUGGUCGAGUCGGCCUGCGCGGAAGAUGUAACGGGGCUAAACCAUGCACCGAAGCUGCGGCAGCGACACUGUGUGUUGUUGGGUAGGGGAGCGUUCUGUAAGCCUGUGAAGGUGUGUCGUGAGGCAUGCUGGAGGUAUCAGAAGUGCGAAUGCUGACAUAAGUAACGAUAAAGCGGGUGAAAAGCCCGCUCGCCGGAAGACCAAGGGUUCCUGUCCAACGUUAAUCGGGGCAGGGUGAGUCGACCCCUAAGGCGAGGCCGAAAGGCGUAGUCGAUGGGAAACGGGUUAAUAUUCCCGUACUUGGUGUUACUGCGAAGGGGGGACGGAGAAGGCUAUGUUGGCCGGGCGACGGUUGUCCCGGUUUAAGCGUGUAGGUGUGUGUUCCAGGUAAAUCCGGUUCACUUUAACACUGAGGCGUGACGACGAGGCACUACGGUGCUGAAGCAACAAAUGCCCUGCUUCCAGGAAAAGCCUCUAAGCAUCAGGUAACAUCAAAUCGUACCCCAAACCGACACAGGUGGUCAGGUAGAGAAUACCAAGGCGCUUGAGAGAACUCGGGUGAAGGAACUAGGCAAAAUGGUGCCGUAACUUCGGGAGAAGGCACGCUGACACGUAGGUGAAGUGAUUUACUCAUGGAGCUGAAGUCAGUCGAAGAUACCAGCUGGCUGCAACUGUUUAUUAAAAACACAGCACUGUGCAAACACGAAAGUGGACGUAUACGGUGUGACGCCUGCCCGGUGCCGGAAGGUUAAUUGAUGGGGUCAGCGCAAGCGAAGCUCCUGAUCGAAGCCCCGGUAAACGGCGGCCGUAACUAUAACGGUCCUAAGGUAGCGAAAUUCCUUGUCGGGUAAGUUCCGACCUGCACGAAUGGCGUAAUGAUGGCCAGGCUGUCUCCACCCGAGACUCAGUGAAAUUGAACUCGCUGUGAAGAUGCAGUGUACCCGCGGCAAGACGGAAAGACCCCGUGAACCUUUACUAUAGCUUGACACUGAACAUUGAGCCUUGAUGUGUAGGAUAGGUGGGAGGCUUUGAAGUGUGGACGCCAGUCUGCAUGGAGCCGACCUUGAAAUACCACCCUUUAAUGUUUGAUGUUCUAACGUGGACCCGUUACCCGGGUUGCGGACAGUGUCUGGUGGGUAGUUUGACUGGGGCGGUCUCCUCC
rnacentral:rRNA from 1 species